rnacentral:lncRNA from 1 species
AAUUAUGCUUACUACAAUAAUAAAACAAAGGACUGGAUUACUUGCAAAAGGAGUCCUGCAUUUCCAAAUUCAAAAAUACAUCAUGUCAUCAUCUAAGACCACGGGUCUGUAACCUACAUGAUGACUUAAUUUUUUCAAGAAAAACAUAGAGGAAUGUACAAAUGAAAUUAAUUAAAUAUAUUUACAUUACCUUUUAGUACAUUUUGCCCACAACUUAUGUUUCUUGGAGCAGAUAUCAUGAUGGUUUUCUCUUGAGAUAUAAGAAGCUUGCCCAUAGUAUACCUGCAUUUGAAAAAUAAAAAUUAUACAUGAGACGCGGAAAUAACCUAAGCGAAUAAAGUACAUCAUAAUUCUAUAUAUUUUUUGAUCAAUACAUGAGAGUUCCAGUUGUGAAACUUUGGCGCUGACACAAGAGUCGCUUGACCACACUUGCCAAUUAUGACAUUCAAUAACACAGAAGAACCCAUUGCACAAUCAUGAUUAGCAGAUCAAUGAACACAACAUAUACUGGGAG